GGCAGAGUGGCUUAGUGGUUAGCAUGUUUGCCUCACACUUCCAGGGUUGGGGGUUUGAUUCCCUCCUCCUCCC